AUCAACUUUCGAUGGUAGGAUAGAGGCCUACCAUGGUGGUAACGGGUAACGGGGUGUUAGGGCACGACACCGGAGAGGGAGCCUGAGAAACGGCUACCACAUCCAAGGAUGGCAGCAGGCGCGCAAAUUACCCAAUCCCGACACGGGGAGGUAGUGACAAUAAAUAACAAUACGGGGUUCUUUAGGAUCUCGUAAUUGGAAUGAGUACAAUUUAAAUCUCUUAACGAGGAACAAUUGGAGGGCAAGUCUGGUGCCAGCAGCCGCGGUAAUUCCAGCUCCAAUAGCGUAUAUUAAAGUUGUUGCAGUUAAAAAGCUCGUAGUUGAAUUUCGGGGUCGGUAGGUUGGUCAUGCCAUCGGUAUGCACUGGUCUCACCGAUUCCUCCCUCUUGUAGAAGCGUAAUGCCAUUAAUUUGGUGUUGCGGGGAAACAGGACUGUUACUUUGAAAAAAUUAGAGUGUUUAAAGCAGGCUAACGCCUGAAUACAUUAGCAUGGAAUAAUGAAAUAGGACGUCGAUCCUAUUUUGUUGGUUUCUAGGGUUGACGUAAUGAUUAAUAGGGAUAGUUGGGGGCAUUAGUAUUCAAUUGUCAGAGGUGAAAUUCUUGGAUUUAUUGAAGACUAACUACUGCGAAAGCAUUUGCCAAGGAUGUUUUCAUUAAUCAAGAACGAAAGUUAGGGGAUCGAAGACGAUCAGAUACCGUCGUAGUCUUAACCAUAAACUAUGCCGACUAGGGAUCGGAUGAUGUUAAUUUUUUAAUGACUCAUUCGGCGCCUUACGGGAAACCAAAGUGUUUGGGUUC
rnacentral:rRNA from 1 species